UACGUAGGGGGCAAGCGUUGUCCGGAAUCAUUGGGCGUAAAGCGCGUGUAGGCGGCCAACUAAGUCGGAUGUGAAAUCCCCAGGCUUAACCUGGGAACUGCAUCCGAUACUGGAUGGCUUGAAUCCGGGAGAGGGAUGCGGAAUUCCAGGUGUAGCGGUGAAAUGCGUAGAUAUCUGGAGGAACACCGGUGGCGAAGGCGGCAUCCUGGACCGGCAUUGACGCUGAGGAGCGAAAGCCAGGGGAGCAAACGGG
rnacentral:rRNA from 1 species